GAAAAGUCCCGGAAGCUCGAGAAUGGGAUUUCAGGCAUGAGACGGCAGCUUGGGAAGCAACGUCGGCGUGGGCGUUUGGCCGAUUUUUCCUUCCAAAUUGAAUGAGGUCCGACCGGGGAGACGGUGAUCCUAGAAGAGCUCGGUGUUCGGGCUGGAGUUCGUGCUGAGGCAGAGUUGAGGCUUCGAGCCAGAUAAUGCAAGUCCGGAUGCAAGCAGGGAUGGCGCCGGGAGGCCGUUGUGGCAACUAGCUGAGUUGCCCGAGUUAUGUAUUUUUAAUAUUGCUUGUAUGUAGCCAGGGGGCGUGGUGUAUGUAUACCCUUGUGAGUAAAUGUCUGUGUUAUUGAGCUUAAAUGUAUUUAAUUGAUGUAAUCAUCAUAGUGUGAUAGAUGAUUGUGAGAU